GUACCGUAUGAAUAAGGAUCGGCUAACUCCGUGCCAGCAGCCGCGGUAAUACGGAGGAUCCGAGCGUUAUCCGGAUUUAUUGGGUUUAAAGGGAGCGUAGGCGGGUUGUUAAGUCAGUUGUGAAAGUUUGCGGCUCAACCGUAAAAUUGCAGUUGAUACUGGCGACCUUGAGUGCAACAGAGGUAGGCGGAAUUCGUGGUGUAGCGGUGAAAUGCUUAGAUAUCACGAAGAACUCCGAUUGCGAAGGCAGCUUACUGGAUUGUAACUGACGCUGAUGCUCGAAAGUGUGGGUAUCAAACAGGAUUAGAUACCCUGGUAGUCCACACAGUAAACGAUGAAUACUCGCUGUUGGCGAUAUACAGUCAGCGGCCAAGCGAAAGCAUUAAGUAUUCCACCUGGGGAGUACGCCGGCAACGGUGAAACUCAAAGGAAUUGACGGGGGCCCGCACAAGCGGAGGAACAUGUGGUUUAAUUCGAAGCAACGCGAAGAACCUUACCAAGUCUUGACAUCCUUCUGACCGGUACUUAACCGUACCUUCUCUUCGGAGCAGGAGUGACAGGUGGUGCAUGGUUGUCGUCAGCUCGUGUCGUGAGAUGUUGGGUUAAGUCCCGCAACGAGCGCAACCCUUAUCUUUAGUAGCCAGCGGUUCGGCCGGGCACUCUAGAGAGACUGCCAGGGAUAACCUGGAGGAAGGCGGGGAUGACGUCAAAUCAUCAUGCCCCUUAUGACUUGGGCUACACACGUGCUACAAUGGCGUAAACAAAGGGAAGCAAAGCUGUGAAGCCGAGCAAAUCUCAAAAAUAACGUCCCAGUUCGGACUGUAGUCUGCAACCCGACUACACGAAGCUGGAAUCGCUAGUAAUCGCGGAUCAGAAUGCCGCGGUGAAUACGUUCCCGGGUCUUGCACACACCGCCCGUCA
rnacentral:rRNA from 1 species